GCCUAGCUCAGUCAGUAGAGCACGAGACUCUUAAUCUCAGGGUAGAGGGUUCGAGACACACAUUCGGCA